GCAGCACCUGCCACCUCUCUUCAAAGAUGAAAAUGGCCAGGUAAUGUAUUUCUUUUGCGAUAUUAUGCCUUUGGUUUUUUAUUUUUCAUCAAUGUUAAUUAUUUUACAGGUCCACAUUGGAUAUGGGAUUGUGGUCCCUUCCAACAAAUGGGCCGCAUUAAUGUGUGUGCCACGCGACUCCCUCUUUUGCAAAGAUGGGGCACGCGUUUUGUGGACAGCGGCCGACUUAAAGGAGCGCAGCGUGAAUGGCCAAGUGUGUCGAAGGUUCGUCAAGAACCCUGAGAGCACGGCUAAGAAAUCAAUGACCCCAAAAAAAACUUCUGGCCUUGAACAAUGCAUUUUCUCAAUUCGUGGAUCUGCAUUCCGACGAAAGGGAUCCUUGUGAAAGAAAAAAAAAGCUGAACUACUUCCUCGCAGAGAUGCUGCAAGACAUGAGGAAAAAAUAGCACUGGCCAGUUCAGCCGACAGCUGAAGAGGAGCAAUUCUUCGUUGAGACGCCGGCACCCAUCAUUCAAAGGACAUAUGCCAUAUGCUAAAUAAAAAUAUUUGUGGCUAUAAUCUGAGACGUCAUUUUUAAGGGCUGGUUUGAUGAAGCUCUACUACCGCCACGAUCAUUGGUCAAACCACCUGGAAGCUUUGGACACUUCAGAGCUUGUUACACUAGCC